AUCUGAUGUUGCUAUGAUGUUGUUACGAGUGGGUAGUGUGACCUUGAGUGCUAAUGAUGAUAACAUAGGAUGAAUAAGCCCUACUGUUCUGAAGUGCUGAAGCUUCAUCUGAGAAUGGUCUUGAGUAGAAAAAAAUUGGCAAGGACUUGAUUUCUGGGGAGGUGCCCUACAACCCCUACUCACUGUUUGAGAAGAGGAAUUUGAUAUAAUGUAAUUGUGUAGCCUAAGAUGGAAUAUAGAAGAACCAUAAAAAACAAAACAAAAAAUCAUGCAAAACUGAAAUGGAAGAAUCGUCUUCCUCGAUCAUAAAUAUAAAUUCUACAUGAGCAUAAGGAAGGCAAACAAAUCGUCUUCAAACGAUGACAGAGAGAUGCCCUUCAGAAAAAAAAUCAUGGUUAAAAUUCCUUGUUAAUCCCUGAGCAGCAAAUUGUUUGAGAUAUCUGACAGUCAUUCUCGUCUCUUCAUACUCUUCUGUACUGGAAAAACAGUUGUUCUGGAGACUGCAGUGCCAAGGCCUGUCUAGUAAUCUGUGCAGUAACAGGGAAAAUGAAUUAUUAAACUGCUUUCUUUCUUUUAGUAAACAAAUACUCAAACUAAUGAACACCUCUUUCUUAUUUAUUUCCAUCCUCCUUCUCUCCAUUGGAUUGUGAAGUAUGGCUUGGAUCACAAGAUCACAGUGCAAUGUUCCUUGCAUGGCGUUCAGGGUGUAUGAAGGAGAAAAGGGAAGUGAAGCACAUGAUUCAAUUGCAAGUCACUAGACAUAAGGCUGCCGUUAGGUGCUGUGAUGCAGCAGCAGUUAAACUAGUCAUUCGUGAAAGAAAGGGCUAUGUGUUUGUGGUGGCAUGGCACAGAAGGCUGAGGAUAGAGUAAAAAACAGCAGCUAGCAUAAAAUUCUUCCUUUCAGAAGAUAAUCAUGUUGUGGCUCCUCAAUGAGUUUCAAACUGUUGCCUACUGUGUUGUCUGCUGUUGUUGUAUGGUUCUUAGGAGAGGAGUUAAAGAACGCUUCAGAUAGGUAGAGGCAAGGGAGAUGCUUUGGGGAAGAGUUUUGGCAGGAAUUUUUCCUUUGUUUUUUGUUCUCUUGGCCAAAAUAAGUGUUCAGGGCUUUCUUUAAACCUGAAUUGGAGAAGUAUUUUAGUGUGUGCAUAUGUGUGUGUCAGUUCUUGCAGUUUUUGAGUAAUAAAAUUCCGGUUUAAUC
rnacentral:lncRNA from 1 species